rnacentral:tRNA from 1 species
GGCCUGGUGGUCUAGCGGUAUGAUUGUCGCUUCGGGAUUUAUUUCCUGUCGUCUCAGACGGCGUGAAUGUGACAGGCCCCGGGUUCGAAUCCCGGCCAGGCCC